rfam:Acyrthosiphon pisum strain LSR1 Contig2504, whole genome shotgun sequence.
UCCCUGGUUGAUCCUGCCAGUAGUCAUAUGCUUGUCUCAAAGAUUAAGCCAUGCAUGUCUCAGUGCAAGCCGCAUUAAGGUGAAACCGCGAAAGGCUCAUUAAAUCAGUUGUGGUUCCUUAGAUCGUACCCAAGUUACUUGGAUAACUGUGGUAAUUCUAGAGCUAAUACAUGCCGACAGAGUUCCGACCGUCGCGGCGCCCUCGGGCGUCGCUCGCGGGAGGAACGCUUUUAUUAG